AUGGGAGCUUUGAAGGCUAACGGGCUAAGAGGACUCAAUCAAGUAAGCGAACGAGAAUACGGACGCGCAAGGUUAUACAUGUUUGGAUGUUUCAUCUAGAAGUGUACGCGGUUGGAGAUCGAGUCAAGACACGGAUUGUAUGUGGGUGUGUACGUAGUCACAUAAUUGAGACAUGUAUGUAGUUUUUUUGGAUUAAUUUAUAAAAAGAGAUUAAUGUAUUUUAAUGAA
rnacentral:lncRNA from 1 species